AUUGAACGCUGGCGGCAGGCCUAACACAUGCAAGUCGAACGGUAACAGGAAGCAGCUUGCUGCUUCGCUGACGAGUGGCGGACGGGUGAGUAAUGUCUGGGAAACUGCCUGAUGGAGGGGGAUAACUACUGGAAACGGUAGCUAAUACCGCAUAACGUCGCAAGACCAAAGAGGGGGACCUUAGGGCCUCUUGCCAUCGGAUGUGCCCAGAUGGGAUUAGCUAGUAGGUGGGGUAACGGCUCACCUAGGCGACGAUCCCUAGCUGGUCUGAGAGGAUGACCAGCCACACUGGAACUGAGACACGGUCCAGACUCCUACGGGAGGCAGCAGUGGGGAAUAUUGCACAAUGGGCGCAAGCCUGAUGCAGCCAUGCCGCGUGUAUGAAGAAGGCCUUCGGGUUGUAAAGUACUUUCAGCGGGGAGGAAGGGAGUAAAGUUAAUACCUUUGCUCAUUGACGUUACCCGCAGAAGAAGCACCGGCCAACUCCGUG
rnacentral:rRNA from 1 species